rnacentral:rRNA from 1 species
AGAGUUUGAUCCUGGCUCAGGACGAACGCUGGCGGCGUGCCUAAUACAUGCAAGUCGAGCGAAUCAACAGGAGCUUGCUCCUGUUGAUUAGCGGCGGACGGGUGAGUAACACGUGGGCAACCUGCCUGUAAGACUGGGAUAACUUCGGGAAACCGGAGCUAAUACCGGAUAAUCCUUUUCCUCUCAUGAGGAAAAGCUGAAAGUCGGUUUCGGCUGACACUUACAGAUGGGCCCGCGGCGCAUUAGCUAGUUGGUGAGGUAACGGCUCACCAAGGCGACGAUGCGUAGCCGACCUGAGAGGGUGAUCGGCCACACUGGGACUGAGACACGGCCCAGACUCCUACGGGAGGCAGCAGUAGGGAAUCUUCCGCAAUGGACGAAAGUCUGACGGAGCAACGCCGCGUGAGCGAUGAAGGCCUUCGGGUCGUAAAGCUCUGUUGUUAGGGAAGAACAAGUAUCGGAGUAACUGCCGGUACCUUGACGGUACCUAACCAGAAAGCCACGGCUAACUACGUGCCAGCAGCCACGGUAAUACGUAGGUGGCAAGCGUUGUCCGGAAUUAUUGGGCGUAAAGCACGCGCAGGCGGUCCUUUAAGUCUGAUGUGAAAGCCCACGGCUCAACCGUGGAGGGUCAUUGGAAACUGGGGGACUUGAGUGCAGAAGAGGAAAGCGGAAUUCCACGUGUAGCGGUGAAAUGCGUAGAGAUGUGGAGGAACACCAGUGGCGAAGGCGGCUUUCUGGUCUGUAACUGACGCUGAGGCGCGAAAGCGUGGGGAGCAAACAGGAUUAGAUACCCUGGUAGUCCACGCCGUAAACGAUGAGUGCUAAGUGUUAGAGGGUUUCCGCCCUUUAGUGCUGCAGCUAACGCAUUAAGCACUCCGCCUGGGGAGUACGGCCGCAAGGCUGAAACUCAAAGGAAUUGACGG